rnacentral:rRNA from 2 species
UGCACUGAUUGAUUUGGUCGCCAACGAGUGGCGGACGGGUGAGUAACACGUAGGUAACCUGCCCAGAAGCGGGGGACAACAUUUGGAAACAGAUGCUAAUACCGCAUAACAACGUUGUUCGCAUGAACAACGCUUAAAAGAUGGCUUCUCGCUAUCACUUCUGGAUGGACUGCGGUGCAUUAGCUUGUUGGUGGGGUAAUGGCCUACCAAGGGCGAUGAUGCAUAGCCGAGUUGAGAGACUGAUCGGCCACAAUGGGACUGAGACACGGCCCAUACUCCUACGGGAGGCAGCAGUAGGGAAUCUUCCACAAUGGGCGCAAGCCUGAUGGAGCAACACCGCGUGAGUGAAGAAGGGUUUCGGCUCGUAAAGCUCUGUUGUUAAAGAAGAACACGUAUGAGAGUAACUGUUCAUACGUUGACGGUAUUUAACCAGAAAGUCACGGCUAACUACGUGCCAGCAGCCGCGGUAAUACGUAGGUGGCAAGCGUUAUCCGGAUUUAUUGGGCGUAAAGAGAGUGCAGGCGGUUUUCUAAGUCUGAUGUGAAAGCCUUCGGCUUAACCGGAGAAGUGCAUCGGAAACUGGAUAACUUGAGUGCAGAAGAGGGUAGUGGAACUCCAUGUGUAGCGGUGGAAUGCGUAGAUAUAUGGAAGAACACCAGUGGCGAAGGCGGCUACCUGGUCUGCAACUGACGCUGAGACUCGAAAGCAUGGGUAGCGAACAGGAUUAGAUACCCUGGUAGUCCAUGCCGUAAACGAUGAGUGCUAGGUGUUGGAGGGUUUCCGCCCUUCAGUGCCGGAGCUAACGCAUUAAGCACUCCGCCUGGGGAGUACGACCGCAAGGUUGAAACUCAAAGGAAUUGACGGGGGCCCGCACAAGCGGUGGAGCAUGUGGUUUAAUUCGAAGCUACGCGAAGAACCUUACCAGGUCUUGACAUCUUGCGCCAACCCUAGAGAUAGGGCGUUUCCUUCGGGAACGCAAUGACAGGUGGUGCAUGGUCGUCGU